rnacentral:rRNA from 1 species
GAGAUGUGGGUAGUCCGUACGAGCGCAACCUUGUCCUUAGUUGCCAGCACGUAAUGGUGGGAACUCUAAGGAGACUGCCGGUGACAAACCGGAGGAAGGUGGGGACGACGUCAAGUCAUCAUGGCCCUUACGACCUGGGCUACACACGUGCUACAAUGGCCAGCACAGAGGGCUGCAAUCCCGCGAGGGGGAGCUAAUCCCAGAAAACUGGUCGUAGUCCGGAUCGCAGUCUGCAACUCGACUGCGUGAAGUUGGAAUCGCUAGUAAUCGUGAAUCAGAAUGUCGCGGUGAAUACGUUCCCGGGCCUUGUACACACCGCCCGUCACACCAUGGGAGUGGGUUGCAAAAGAAGUAGCUAGGCUAACCUUCGGGAGGCCGGUUACCACUUUGUGAUUCAUGACUGGGGUGAAGUCGUAACAAGGUAGCCCUAGGGGAACCUGGGGCUGGAUCACCUCCUU